rnacentral:tRNA from 1 species
GCCUGGGUGGCUCAGCUGGUUGAGCGUCUGACUUCUGCUCAGGUUAUGGUCUCCUGGUUCAUGAGUUCGAACCCCACAUCUGGCU